AUUCCACUGAUGACUUCUUGUUAGUGCCACGUGUCUGGGCCACUGAGACCCCCUGAUGGAACUGAGGAUCUGAGGAA
rnacentral:snoRNA from 1 species